CUUCUAACUUCUUCAACUUAAACUGAUCAAAAUUGCAGCCAUUUGGCAAAUAUAUUUUAGUCUUCUGACCAAAGCAUUAUGAUGGGAAAAGGCUGCUGUGAGGUGGACUCUGUGGGCAGAGAUAUUACCCACUUAAAGCAGAGACUGGGGGCACAGCAAAAAGGUUUGCCAUAAAGGCCAACAUGCUUCAAACAAAGCAAAAGCUGCCAUGGAAUUAUCCCCCCAUGAAUUAAGUUAUUAAUUAUCAAGCAAAUAAUUUAGGAUCCCAUUGGGAACUUUCUGAGAAAACACUGCUUUAAGUAUGAGUCAUAAAAGCCUUUUGUAUAUCUCACACUUGAUUCAUAUUUAAAUGUGUUUCUUAUGGCAGCAGAAUAACAAUAAAAAAUGCAGAGAUUCCCUUUACUGCUAGUUAACUGAGUUUGGAAAGAUAACGAAUAACCCACAUGGAGAAAAUUAUUUUGCUGCUAGACACAACCAUCCCAGGAAGAACUGCAAACCCCACCGAGGGUACACGUCUCCACUUCUAAUUUAACAGGUAGGGUAAAGAUAUCUUCCCCUAAAACUGCUUCUGCAUUAUGCACUAAAACGUCCUGCUUUGUUAUCAGGAAGUUACUAGGGCAAUUUAAGGUUCACUGUUGGCACAGGAUAAUAUCUGUGUCUCCAGGAUGCCCUGAAUCAGGACAUUUUCUUCAGUAUCUUAAGGCAUGGAGUCACGGUUUUUCAUUGUAAGAAUAAUUGGGUGUACCAAUAAAUCUCAGCAGUUGUAUUUUAUCUUUGUCUGCUCAAAUGUUUCUCACUAGAUGCAGCGAUAAACCUUUAGUUCAUGGUGAUGUUGUUCAUACCCGUGACCCACUCCAUUGUGAACGCAUAGCUGAGAAGGCAAUUUCCAUGGCAGUAUCUCAGUUCUGGUUGGAAUGACAAGUCAUUGGAGCUUCUUCAGCUGUAUCUGUAGUCCUGUGUGGAAGUGGCAAGUGCUUGUUAUCUCCCACAAUACAGCUUCCUAAAGGAAAGCCUGAACGCAGCAUUUUAAUAUCAUUAACACAGCAGGGUCUUUCCAGAGGGCAGCCACGUGCUCUAAGUGCUGCUCUAAGGUGGGACCACCUGCAAAAACAGAUCCUUGUAAAGACCUCUUCAGCAAAUUACACUGGCAUUAAAAGGUCCAUUCUGAAGCAUUAAUACCUGAUGAAGAGAAGAGAGGGAAUGAGUCAGUAUUAGACAGGAAGUCGUGGGAACUUGUGUCAUAAUGGCAUACAAUAUACCUUCUUUUCCAUAACAAUCUAUGUUAAUCUGCAUGGUAAAGAGACUUCAGGUCGAGGAAUCUGUAUGUUUUAAAAUACCAUCACCUGCCAACAGCAACCAUAGCAGUGCCCUCGUAGUGAAGUUUCAAACAGCAAAAGAAGCACGCACACACAGGACACAUUUAAUCCUGCUUCUUUGGAGUCAGCAGUUAAAUAAGCAGCUUGUUCACAACACUGGUUGUGAUUUGUUAGUUACGAAGCUCCCAGCUGGAAAAAACUGCAGUCGCUGCACAGUGUAGCAGGAAGCUUUGAGAUGGAGAUUUGCAUGUUGUAACACUGGGAUGAUUCUGACAUCUGGGAUGUCAGAAUGACCACCCGGCUACUGCUGCGUCCCUUUUGACACCUGUUGUGCUGUGACACAUCAGAAGAUGCUGCAGAGAAACAGUCAAUAGCACCGGACAAAAAAGGUACACAGAAAAAAAUGUAAAGGUAAACAUACCAAAAAAGGCAAAAUAUGUGUAGGCAAAUCCUCCUUUUACUUACUGUCACAACAUUUGGUUGCAUCUUUAAUGUGCAGUGUUGCACUAUUCUGAUUGCAGGUCUCCAGGGGCCACACUUCACUGCUUUUUGUCUCAGAUCACAUCUCUGCAGUUUGGGAGGAAGGAAGGGAACUGCUGAGUCUGACUGAAGCCCAGACCGCAGCUGGCUGCUCCUACUGUGUUGUGGGGACACUUAAAUGCCAACUUAGAAAGCUGAACAAGUUUACACGUAAGCAACUGUAACACAUUUGUAUGUGAACGAGGCCAAGUUCUCAGAGGGCUGUUUGCAAAACCAGAUCUCAGCCACAUCAGAAGUUUUACCACUAACUAAAUCAGCGCUAUUAAAAAGGGCACAGCUACCAAGUGUGUGCCAGACAAACACAGUGCUUCUGUUUGUACUACUUAUUCCUGUAGGGGGAAGGGAGGAAGUUAAAAAAACUGUACCAAUUUUUAAUAUAUAACAUACUCUACAGGUAAAACUUAUAUCACAACUCAGUGGAGAGCACGGAAAACACUUAAGAUCUCUUUGCAAAGUUGUCUUUGUUGCAUUGUUAUUAAGAGCAUGUUAAAAUGAGGACCAAUAUUUUUACAUAAUAAUAUGUUUUUUACAUGAAAGCAUGUUUUCAAAUGUCACUUGUUAUGGAAAUAUUGUCUACAUGUCACCUUAAGAAAUAGCCACAGAAAAAUAAGUUUCCUGAAGGGCGCUCAUGUAGCUGUAUAGCUAACAAAGCCUUCCCUAAUGGAACAGUAGUAG